rnacentral:rRNA from 1 species
UGAGUACGAGACGCUAAGGCGUCGAAGUAGUGGAUGUCAUACUUCCAAGAAAAGCUUGCACUGUCAUAAAUAAAAACGCCUGUACCAUAACCGACACAGGUGGGUAGGUAGAGUAUACUAGGGGCGCGAGAUAACUCUCUCUAAGGAACUCGGCAAAAUAACUCCGUAACUCCGGGAGAAGGAGUGCCUUAUUCGUAAGGCUGCAAUAACAAGAUCCAAGCAACUGUUUAUCAAAAACACAGGUCUCCGCUAAGUCGUAAGACGAUGUAUGGGGGCUGACGCCUGCCCAGUGCCAGAAGGUUAAAGAAGUCGGUUAGCAUUAGCGAAGCUGGUAACUGAAGCCCUGGUGAACGGCGGCCGUAACUAUAACGGUCCUAAGGUAGCGAAAUUCCUUGUCGGGUAAGUUCCGACCCGCACGAAAGGCGUAAUGAUUUGGAUACUGUCUCGGAGAGGGGCUCGGUGAAAUAGACUUGUCUGUGAAGAUGCGGACUACCUGCACCAGGACAGAAAGACCCUAUGAAGCUUUACUGUAACUUGAAAUUGAAAUUGGACUUUAUUCGCGCAGUAUAGGUGGGAGGUGUUGAUUAUAAUCUUGCGGGAUUAUUGGAGCCAUCAGUGAGAUACCACUCUUGUAAUGUUAGAUUUCUAACUUUGAAUCAUUAUCUGGUCAAAGAACAGUUUCAGGCGGGCAGUUUGACUGGGGCGGUCGCCUCCUAAAUGGUAACGGAGGCGUACAAAGGUUUCCUCUGAACGGGUAGAAAUCGUAUCUAGAGUGUAAAGGCAUAAGGAAGCUUGACUGUGAGACCUACAAGUCGAGCAGGGACGAAAGUCGGUCUUAGUGAUCUGACGGUACUGAGUGGAAAGGCCGUCACUCAACGGAUAAAAGUUACUCUAAGGAUAACAGGCUGAUCUCCCCCAAGAGUUCACAUCGACGGGGAGGUUUGGCACCUCGAUGUCGGCUCAUCGCAUCCUGGGGCGGUAGUACGUCCCAAGGGUUGGGCUGUUCGCCCAUGAAAGCGGUACGCGAGCUGGGUUCAGAACGUCGUGAGACAGUUCGGUCCAUAUCCGGUGUAGGCGUUAGAAUAUUGAGAGGAGCCUUCUUUAGUACGAGAGGACCGAGAAGGACAUACCUCCGGUGUACCAGUUAUCGUGCCAACGGUAAACGCUGGGUAGCUAUGUAUGGAGUGGAUAACCGCUGAAAGCAUCUAAGUGGGAAGCCCACCUCAAGAUAAGUAUUCUCAU